rnacentral:rRNA from 1 species
AACGAACGCUGGCGGCAGGCUUAACACAUGCAAGUCGAGCGCUCCGCAAGGGGAGCGGCAGACGGGUGAGUAACGCGUGGGAAUCUACCCAUCUCUACGGAAUAACGCAUGGAAACGUGUGCUAAUACCGUAUACGUCCUUCGGGAGAAAGAUUUAUCGGAGAUGGAUGAGCCCGCGUUGGAUUAGCUAGUUGGUGGGGUAAAGGCCUACCAAGGCGACGAUCCAUAGCUGGUCUGAAAGGAUGAUCAGCCACACUGGGACUGAGACACGGCCCAGACUCCUACGGGAGGCAGCAGUGGGGAAUAUUGGACAAUGGGCGCAAGCCUGAUCCAGCCAUGCCGCGUGAGUGAUGAAGGCCCUAGGGUUGUAAAGCUCUUUCACCGGUGAAGAUAAUGACGGUAACCGGAGAAGAAGCCCCGGCUAACUUCGUGCCAGCAGCCGCCGUAAUAC